CUCGUUCCCAUUAUCCACUCAUCUGAGCCUCCUUGUUAGCUGCAGCCAAUUAUCUGAGCUGGCUCGUUAGAGGAGGCAGCACAUCUCACAGGAGAGGAGACAGAAUGCUGCUUACAUCAGGGGAAAAGGUGCAUUCAUUUAUGUUGCAGGAAGCAGCAGAUGUUCGUUUGGAGAUAGAGCUGUGUUGCAGCACCAUCUACUGGUCAAUUUUGACAGUUACAGGACAUCAGGAACUACAACAUCUUUUAAAUGUUUGAUUUGUUGAGAAUAAAAACAUAUGUUGUUUACUAUGACUAUAAGGAAAUUGUACUAUUAAAGUCA